UUAAAAUCACGACGUUUCGGAGGCUGGUUCUGUGUCCAGUGACAAAGAAUAAUUUUAAGUGUAAAGUAACCCAACUUAUCCUAACCUAACCUGCUGUAGCUUCAUCUGACGCAUUGAAAAUUAUCAACAAUUAACCGAACCUUACGUAACAUAACAUAAGCGUGCCGAAGCGUGACUUAGUAACCACGCGUGCCCAAGCGUGACCAGGUGUGACCGGCUUUGACCUCGUGACAAGGGAUCAUCAUGUGUCGAAACGUGACGAAGAUUUACAAAGCGUGACCAAACGUAACCAAGCGUGACCUGCUAUAAAGGAGUGAUGAGAGGUCACCUUAAAUGUUAAAAUAUGAUGAAGAUUUGAUAAGUGUCUAAGCGUGACCAAGCGUGACGACCAAAAAUGUCGAAUACCCUCCUACAAUAAUUUGGUAAAAAUGCAAUGGUAUUAAAACUACAAACAGUUUUAAUCCUACAAACGCACACAGUGGGUUACAACAGCACAUUAUCAGCAUUAUAAAGAUAUGGCUAUCAGCCUGAUAACACCACAUUCUGUUAUCAUGAUUCUCAACAACUCUAUUUGUUGGCACGAAGGUGAAGCUGCCACUGAAUCCGUUUACCUUUACCUCAAACAUCGUUCAUUUAAGUUUCCAUGUAAUUCCUGAAUACCGCCAACCAAUCGAUUGCUGCAAUUAGAGCCGUGUUGAGUUUCGAGACUUACAUGUUGCUGCAACUAACAUGAUGCCAGCGACCACGUGCACGUCCACAAGGUCUCCUUGACGUGCUACCAUUCCGAGGUGAAAUAGGACUACUUGGUCGAGAGGUUGAGGGACUUGAAAAUAAUGACGAAUGCAUAACUGAAGAACGCCAAGAAGCACAAGAGGACUGAACUUCCAGACUGUGAGGCGAAAAAAAUUAAUUCUGUAAACAUUUACUUUUGCAAAACAAUUAUUAAGUAUGCAGAGACAUUUUGAAUUCAAAUGUAUUUCUACACAUUUAACUACAGUUCACAAAGUGUGACAAUAGGCUGUGCUGCUGUUUCUGCCUUUAAAAAUGUACUACUUCUUCUUUAGAAUAAAUAUUUUUAAUCGUAA